rnacentral:rRNA from 1 species
UACGGGGGGAGCAAGCGUUGUUCGGAUUUCCUGGGCGUAAAGGGCGCGUAGGCGGUCAGCACAAGUCAGUUGUGAAAUCUCCGGGCUUAACUCGGAAAGGUCAACUGAUACUGUGCGACUAGAGUGCGGAAGGGGCAACUGGAAUUCUCGGUGUAGCGGUGAAAUGCGUAGAUAUCGAGAGGAACACCUGCGGCGAAGGCGGGUUGCUGGGCCGACACUGACGCUGAUGCGCGAAAGCCAGGGGAGCGAACGGG